rnacentral:rRNA from 1 species
AGCGAACGCUGGCGGUAGGCCUAACACAUGCAAGUCGAACGGAAGCAUACUAAGAGUUUGCCUUUACGGAUGGCGAGUCGAGCACGGGAGUGGAACACAACGGACCUUACUUUUACACGGGGGAUAACGUAGGGAACCUUGCGUUAAUACCGCAUACGACAUACGUGUGAAAGCAGAGGAUCUUCGGAUCUUGCGCGUAUGACUGAGACUUUGUCGUAUUAGCUAGUUGGUGGGGUAAAGGCCCACCAAGGCGACGAUCCGUAGCUGAUCUGAGAGGAUGAUCGGCCACACUGGAACUGAGACACGGUCCAGACUCCUACGGGAGGCAGCAGUAGGGAAUAUUCGACAAUGGGCGCAAGCCUGAUCCAGCCAUACCGCGUGGGUGAAGAAGGCCUUCGGGUUGUAAAGCCCUUUUGUUGGGGAAGAAAAGCAAUAUAUUAAUUACCCGCUGAUCUGACGGUACCCAAAGAGUAAGCAACGGCUAACUUCGUG